rnacentral:rRNA from 1 species
GCGUGCCUAACACAUGCAAGUCGAACGGGGUCAGUUGCUUCGGUGAUUGACUUAGUGGCGAACGGGUGAGUAACGCGUGAGGAACCUGCCUUUCAGUGGGGGACAACAGUUGGAAACGACUGCUAAUACCGCAUAAUGCAGCUAGACCGCAUGGUCUUACUGCCAAAGCUUUAUGUGCUGAAAGAUGGCCUCGCGUCUGAUUAGCUAGUUGGUGGGGUAACGGCCCACCAAGGCGACGAUCAGUAGCCGGUCUGAGAGGAUGAACGGCCACAUUGGGACUGAGAUACGGCCCAGACUCCUACGGGAGGCAGCAGUGGGGAAUAUUGGGCAAUGGGGGAAACCCUGACCCAGCAACGCCGCGUGAAGGAAGAAGGCCUUCGGGUUGUAAACUUCUUUUACCAGGGACGAAGAACGUGACGGUACCUGGAGAAAAAGCAACGGCUAACUACGUGCCAGCAGCCGCGGUAAUACGUAGGUUGCAAGCGUUGUCCGGAUUUACUGGGUGUAAAGGGGGUGUAGGCGGGGAAUAAAAAUUGGGAGUGAAAUCCCGGGGCUCAACCCCGGAACUGCUCUCAAAACUGUAUCCCUUGAGUAUCGGAGAGGCAAGCGGAAUUCCUAGUGUAGCGGUGAAAUGCGUAGAUAUUAGGAGGAACACCAGUGGCGAAGGCGGCUUGCUGGACGACAACUGACGCUGAGGCGCGAAAGCGUGGGGAGCAAACAGGAUUAGAUACCCUGGUAGUCCACGCUGUAAACGAUGAAUACUAGGUGUGGGAGGACUGACCCCUUCCGUGCCGCAGCUAACGCAAUAAGUAUCGCACCUGGGGAGUACGAUCGCAAGGUUGAAACUCAAAGGAAUUGACGGGGGCCCGCACAAGCAGUGGAUUAUGUGGUUUAAUUCGAAGCAACGCGAAGAACCUUACCAGGGCUUGACAUCCCGAUGACCGGUGUAGAGAUACACUUUUCUCUUCGGAGACAUCGGUGACAGGUGGUGCAUGGUUGUCGUCAGCUCGUGUCGUGAGAUGUUGGGUUAAGUCCCGCAACGAGCGCAACCCCUAUUUUUAGUAGCCAGCAGGUAAAGCUGGGCACUCUAGAGAGACUGCUGGGGUCAACCCGGAGGAAGGUGGGGAUGACGUCAAAUCAUCAUGCCCCUUAUGUCCUGGGCUACACACGUGCUACAAUGGCGUAAACAAAGGGAAGCGACCCCGUGAGGGUGAGCAAAUCCCAAAAAUAACGUCUCAGUUCGGAUUGUAGUCUGCAACUCGACUACAUGAAGCUGGAAUCGCUAGUAAUCGCGAAGCAGAAUGUCGCGGUGAAUACGUUCCCGGG